GGGGGGGCAAGCGUUUGUUCGGAAUUACUGGGCGUAAAGGGCGUGUAGGCGGCCCUGCAAGUCUUUCGUGAAAUCCCACAGCUCAACUGUGGAACUGCGAGGGAAACUGCAGGACUUGAGUCCGGGAGAGGAGAGUGGAAUUCCCAGUGUAGCGGUGAAAUGCGUAGAUAUUGGGAGGAACACCGGUGGCGAAGGCGGCUCUCUGGACCGGCACUGACGCUGAGGCGCGAAAGCUAGGGGAGCAAACGGGAUUAGAUACCCCGGUAGUCCUAGCCUUAAACGAUGAGCACUUGGUGUGGCGGGUAUCGACCCCCGUGCCGUGCCGAAGCUAACGCAUUAAGUGCUCCGCCUGGGGGAGUACGGUCGCAAGGCUG
rnacentral:rRNA from 1 species